UAAAGAGACUUAACUCAUGAAGACAAACUGAAGACAAACCAAGGGAAGCAUGAAUAAAUAGAUUUGUAAAAUAAAGCCACUGGGACUAGUCUGGUAAAAUGAAUGUUGAGACAAAAGAAGGCAAAUUAACAGUUCUGUAGUAAAGAACGAGUUACUCAAUGGCAUAGUCUACAUGAUAUUAAUCUGUAAUUAUAGGUUUUAAUAUGAUAUCUCACAGAAUAACCUAAACUGGCAGAGGCCAAAUUAGAAUAACAAGAGUUGAUUAAUGAAUAGUCUCCAUGAAAUUUUUAUAUUGUAAACUAAUUGAAUAUAAGAGCAUGUUGGGUAAAAUUGAUUUCCUUUCUUUGAACUUCUGAGCAAUGAUUUCAUGUGCCAGUCAUUUUAAAUAUAUCGGACUUUUUGAUUCUUCACUCACUUUUUCAUGUGUCUAAUCUUCAUCUGCUCUGUAAACUCCAUGAAGGCAGAUACUAUAUUUAAUAGUUCUUUUGCACCUAGCAGAAGAGGAAAUCAGUAAUACCUUUAAAAUCUCUGUUUUCAGCACAUAGUUUCACUCAAAAUAUUUUAUUAUUUUUUAAUCAGAGUGAUUCACUAAGGAAAACUAAAGUGACUAAGCCUAUCAUCAGUUCUUCUAAAAUAUGUCUCAUAAAUGAGGUGACCAUAUAGUCUGGUCUCCUUGAGACUGCUCCUUUAUUUUUGUCUGUUAUACAGGGUAGUUAUUAAUAGCUUUUCCUUUCACUCUUAAAAUAUCUAGGUUUAGAUAAAUUAUUUUGUUCAUCCUACCAUAGUUCAUGAUAUCAGAGUCUGAAAUAAUCAAUGAGUCUGACUGACUUUGCAUUCCAAAUGGGUAUCUAUGGGACCUAGAUUAUCCAAUUUUAAAAAAAAGAAGAAAGAAUAUAUAUUUUAGUUAAGGCUUAUGAACUCAUUUGAUAGACUAUUUUAAUAACAUAAAAUGAAAAAAAAAAACAAAAAGUACAGAACUGUAAAUAGAAUACUUGCAGUAAUAUUCCCCCAUUUGUCUCAUUGAAUGUGAUAAAAAAAAUGACUUUAUCAAAAUUCUUUUUUUUUUUUUUGGCUUUUUAGGGAAGCACCCAUGGUAUAUGGAGGUUCGCAGGCUAGGGGUAGAAUCGGAGCUGUAGCCGCUGGCCUAUGCCACAGCCACAGCAAUACCAGAACCGAGCCACAUCUGCAACCUACACCACAACCUCAGGGCAACACCAGAUCCUUAACCCACUGAGUGAGGCCAGAGAUCGAGCCUGCAUCCUCAUAGUUUGCAUCAAAACAAAAUUUAAAUAUGUAACUCAAGAAAUACAAUGUAUUAAUUUCUAAACUCUGUGAAGUUAGCCUAAAAAUGCUUAAGAAAUGAUUUUGUCUUUCAUUUGCUUGAGUUUUAUAGAUUAGAAAGUAUGUAAUAAGUAAAAUACUACAAAAUAAGCAUAGAUCAGCUCAGGGGACUGAGAAAUUUAAUCUAUAAUUUUUUUUCAUUUGCACAUAAAUGUUCAUAAUCUCUUUGCAAACGCUGAAAGCGAAUCUGCACAAUAAUAGUGGUUAACACUGAGAAUUAUUCAGUUUUAGAGCCAGACCACUUUUAAACUUUAGGUCUGUCCUCAAGGCUAAGUAUAAUUAUCCCAACUCCUUAUGCCCAUUGUUUGUCUUAUCCAUAAUGAGUUCUACAACCUCUUUUAUAGUAUUUCAUAAUUAUCUUUAUUUCAGAAUAUGCAUUUUAAAAUAUUUUAAUGGUUUACCAUUAAAUGGACAAUAAGCAUAUGCAUUAUUUUCCAGUACACAAUAUUUUACUGUAAUACUGCACAAUUUUUAACAUCCUUCUUUUGAUGUUUCAGAAAUAUUUUUCUCUCUGAGUGAAGAGUUAAUGACUGAGCAGGAUUUUAAAGCUCCUUUAUUUCUUUUUUUUCUUCUUUCUUUGUCUUUUUGUUUUUUAGGGCCACACCUGCAGCAUAUGGAGGUUCCCAAGCUAGGGGUCCAACUGCAGCUGUAGUUGUCGGCCUACACCACAGCCACAGCAACAUGGGGGCUCCGAGCUGUGUCUGUGACCUACACCACAGUUCACAGCAAUGCCGGAUCCUUAACCCACUGAGCCAGGCCAGGGAUCGAACCAGCAUUCUCUGGGAUGCUAGUUGGGUUUGCUAACUUCUGAGCCACGACGGGAACUCCAAAGCUCCUUUAUUUUUUUGAGCUUUUCUCUCUCUCUCUCUCUCUCUCACACACACACACACACAAUCACAAAUGAGGUGAAUAAAUAAAGCUAUGCUUAAAAUAGUUAACUACAUGCCUAGAUUUAAAGGCUGAUGGCCCAGCUGUUAGUACCAACAAAAAUCCCAGGAAAGCUAUAUGUAGCAUUAUCAGAUUGUGGUCAUGGAAAAGCCAAGCAAUACAAUUGCAUGGUGCUUUUCACUCUGUAGACAGAUGUAGGGCAUGCUCAAAAAUCAGAAAGCACAUUCCUGAGCCUAUGGGUUUAUCACCUUAAAAAAUUUAU
rnacentral:lncRNA from 1 species